rnacentral:lncRNA from 1 species
AUGGAGGAAAGCGAUCUCUGCACGUUCCUUCUAAUCUCUGGGAAUAUCUCUCCCUACCUGGGCUCCCUGGCCUCCUUUUUCAGAGACUUCUGUGAGGUCACCAUAUGGUUCCUUUCUUUGUUCUUCACUCUCAUCCUUCUGAGACUUGAAGCAAUUAAUAAUGGCAUUAUCUUCAAGGUUCUGGGUAUCUCAGAGUUCCUGCAGUGAGGUACAUUGUGGGACAAUCCUGCAGCGAAGACAGUGAACACCACACCUCUGCCCUCUUUCUUUAAAAGGACCUCUUUUUUUUUUUGCUGAGACUUAGGGAGGCAAGACAGACUACAUGAUAACGUAUUUCUGUGUGAGAAGUCAUUUUUGGCUAUAACCUCACUUUUAAAAAAGUUCGUACAUGCAAGAUUAAGGAGGGUGCGAAUAACCUGGUUUAUUUUUUGAAAGAGUGACUCACAUGCAGUAUGUUGGAUUCUGGGAUGGCUUUGUUAUUUGUUAUGUUUUAUCAAUACAUCUGUAUACCACAGUCACAGGUCAGAAUCUGAUUCUGUCAGCACUCUACAGACACGAUACGAAGAUGUCAGCUGUUGACCUGAAGGUCUGUCUUAUUCUUAGAUUUUGAGACAAAGGCAGUUGGAUACGGGAAGAUAGGGCUGCCUAAGGCAACAAUAAUAGGUGAGCAAAAUAAGCAUUUCUUUUCUCGUCAUGGUUACAGCCUCCUUGGUAGCUGAAAAAUACAUAAUGAGAACUUAGAAGACACAAAAUGGCAUAGUGAAUGCUUAUGGAGAAGCUAUUUAUUUAGGUUACCUCCCAAGAGAGUUGCUCCAGGACCUUGACUGUAAGUCUUCUGGGGUUAACAUUAACAUUUUAUUUUGGAUCAGGAGCAAGUUUUUGAAGCAAACCUUCUGAUUAUCCCUUCUUACUGCACAUCGUUUUACACUACAGAGUGGUCCCUGAGCACAUGAAUUGGAUUCCUUUUGAGGGAAACUAAAUCAGAAGUGUGUUCCAACUGCCAUGGGUAAUCAGGCCUACAGAAUCAAACAAGAGAUAAUCGUAAAGUAAAAAAAAAAAAAAAAAAAACAACAAAAACAUGUUUAGCAUGGAGUCAAAGUCCUCAAAAUCAGUUGCUUCACUCUAAAGAUCCACGCCUAUUGCAUGAUAUUGCUUGGUAGUGUAGACAUAUGUUUCUUUUAUAUAUUUUUGAAAGGAAUUAUUUUAU